CUCCCUGUCCUGCUUUCUCCAACACUCAGACCUGGAAACAACUCCACCCUGCCCCUCCCUGCCCCUCCCUGCCAUGAGCUCCCUGCUCCUCUGCUGUGUGGCCUUUUGUCUCCUGGGAACAGGGUCCAUGGAUGCUGGAGUUACCCAGACCCCAAGGAAUCAGAUCGCCAAGACAGGAAACAGCAUCACUCUGGAAUGUUCUCAGAAUAUGGAUCAUUACAACAUGUACUGGUACCGACAAGACCCAGGACUGGGGCUCCGGCUGAUCUACUAUUCCACUGAUGUCCAAGACAUUAACAAUGGAGACAUCCCCGAUGGCUACAGUGUCUCCAGGACCGAGAAAAUGAACUUCCCCCUCUCUGUGAAGACUGCCAGCCCCAACCAGACAGCUGUCUACUUCUGUGCCAGCAGUUACUCACACAGCGUUUCCGGGCCACCUGCUCUCUGCACAGAAAGACAGGCACAUGGGGGAGCUACUUGCUCAAAGGCUCGGAAGGCUUCCUGCACAUGGGACGUGGGACGUGGGAUCUCGAGGGCUCUGAGUGGCUGA